rnacentral:sRNA from 1 species
UGGCUGCAUCGUAUUCGCUCGUAGGCGAA